rnacentral:rRNA from 1 species
UACAGGGGGUGCAAACGUUGCUCGGAAUUAUUGGGCGUAAAGCGCGCGUAGGCGGCUACUUAAGUCGGAUGUGAAGGCCCUUGGCUCAACUGAGGAAGUGCACCCGAAACUGAGUGGCUAGAGUACGAAAGAGGGUCGCGGAAUUCCCGGUGUAGAGGUGAAAUUCGUAGAUAUCGGGAGGAACACCGGUGGCGAAGGCGGCGACCUGGGUCGAUACUGACGCUGAUGCGCGAAAGCGUGGGGAGCAAACAGG